AGAGAAAAGAGAGAGGGUGGAAGAUGUAGAGCAGCGGACAGUCACGAAAGAGGGAAACAGAGAGAGUGAAGCGGCGUUCGACGGCGAGUUCCAAACGGAGUUCGACGGAGCACGUUCGUCGGUGAGUUUUCGUAUAAUACCGACAGCAAACGGUGCUUCUUUGCGGCAUUAUUUGGGCAGAAGCAGAUUUUCUUCAGAGUUCGCAUUUUCAUUUCCCAAUUCUCUCCACCGCUUAAUCGAAUCGUGGAAUUGGAACAACACACUUUCCUUUUUUUUUUUUGAAUUUUUUCUCGUUGAGUACGAUGCAAAUCUCCACCAGUAACAUUCUCUAUCAACUUCAUCUUCCUCUUGUUAAUGGAACUUCAAAUACUUCGUAUUCUCGUUACUGGAGGGAUUCAAUAGUCUUGAGCUCUCGCCGAAGAUGCUCUCAAAUGGCUACUGCUACGGCCAUUGUUGAUGAAAUUCACAAAUUAGAAAGUGAAAGAGAGAAACCGAGGUUUCGGUGGGUCGAGGUUGGGUAUGAUAUUACUGAAACGCAGAAGCAGGCUAUAUCUCAGCUUCCUCCCAAGAUGACUAAAAGAUGUAAGGCUGUGAUGAAGCAAAUUAUAUGUUUCUCACCUCAAAAGGGUGAGUUAUCAGAUAUGUUGGCGGCUUGGGUGAGGAUUAUGAAGCCUGAAAGAGCUGACUGGCUUUUGGUUCUUAAGCAUUUGAGGAUUUUGAAUCAUCCUCUCUAUAUCCAGGUGGCAGAAGCUGCUCUUGAAGAGAUAACAUUUGAAGCCAAUACUCGAGACUACACGAAGAUUAUUCAUCACUAUGGGAAGCAAAACCAACUCGAGGAUGCUGAAAAAGUUCUCUUAAGCAUGAGAGAAAGGGGUUUUGUUUGUGAUCAGAUAACAUUAACCACAAUGAUCCACAUAUAUAGCAAGGCUGACAAACUUAAUCUAGCCAAACAAACUUUUGAAGAGCUCAAACUGCUUGAGCAACCGUUGGAUAAAAGAUCGUUUGGUGCAAUGAUUAUGGCAUAUGUCAGGGCUGGGUUUCCCGAGGAAGGAGAAAAAAUUCUGAAAGAAAUGGAUGCAAAAGAUAUUUAUGCAGGAAGCGAAGUCUACAAGGCUUUGUUAAGAGCAUACUCCAUGGUAGGCAAUGCUGAAGGAGCCCAAAGAGUAUUCGAUGCAAUUCAAUUGGCUGCUAUUACUCCUGAUGAAAAGCUAUGCGGUCUUUUGAUCAAUGCCUAUCUGAUGGCCGGUCAAAGCCGAGAGGCACAAAUUGCUUUUGACAACAUGAGGAGGGCAGGCAUUGAACCUAGUGACAAAUGCAUAGCUUUGGCAUUAAGUGCAUAUGAAAAGGAGAACAGGCUAAAUUCAGCGUUGGAACUUCUAAUAGAUUUGGAGAAGGAUAACGUUAUGGUCGGGAAGGAAGCUUCAAAAAUAUUAGCAGCUUGGCUUAAACGAUUAGGGGUGGUGGAAGAGGUUGAAAUUGUGUUGAGAGAAUACACUGAAAAAGAAGUGAACCGCUAAGCAGGAGAAACCAUGAGAUUAGCAGUCCAAUUAGCCAUUAAGCUCGUUUAGGGAUGUUUGGAAAUAGAGAGGCACCAAUGCGUUGCAUCGAAGACAGUUGUUUUUGGACAACUUGUUGAUCAAUGCUGCCCAUGGAUGGGAAAUUGUUGCUUCCAAUUUGGUAUGAUUCCAAUGGAGACUGCAAUUUUUCCUGUGAAACUUGCUCGACAGGAUCGAGAAGUAGAGAAAGAUCUGAUUCAGCAGGAAAAGAAGGGCAAUCUGAUGGAAGGCUUAUAAUUGAGGAUAGAGUUGGCUUCUUGACCAGAGCUGGUGGUUGUGCCUGAAGAUGGGGUGCGGAUCUUGGAAGCUCAGAUGUUGCUAGUUUUCAUAAGAAGCAUUUGGAUUUCCAUAAGCUUAACCUUUUGGCAACCAACAAUCAGAAGUCAAAUGUUUGUUUUCACCUGUUGUUGAAGGGCAAAGAUAUGAGAAACACAGCCCAAAACUGGCUCUCUGACUCGAGCUUGUGCUUCGUAACAUAUAGUUAUAGCUGCAUCAAGCCGUUUAUGUUCAGGAAUAUGUAGAAGCAUCUUUGACACAUUGCUUGCUCCAAACACCUUGUGCACAGCUGCAAAAUGAGUUGAACCUUGUUCGGAGUCAAAGUAGGGUGCAAAUAUACACUCUGGCAUACACUUCCUCCGCAGAAACUUGCACGCCCCACACGGUCCACCACUACCGUUGCUGCCACCACCCUUGCCUUUUGUGCAACUUCCACCACUCCGCCUCGAGCUCAUCUCAACCUUGCUUGCUUGAGUUCUUUCAGGAAAACCUAAGCAAAGCUUACUGGAAGACAAGACAAAUAUGUAUACACACACACAUAUAUAUGUGUGGAGCUGACUUUGAGGUUUGUGGAUCACAAGGUAUAUAAUUCUUCUUUUCUUUCCAUUUACAUUUCUCUCUCUCUCUCUCUUAGUUUGAUGGGAUUUGCAAAUUAGAAGGAAAUGUAGGUUUUGGAAGAUUGAAACAUAGUUUUAUUAUUGAAAUAACAAUAAUAAUUAUUAUUAUUUUGGAAUA